AUUGAACGCUGGCGGCAGGCCUAACACAUGCAAGUCGAACGGAGUGGCGGACGGGUGAGUAAUGUCUGGGAAUCUGCCUGGUAGUGGGGGAUAACGUCCGGAAACGGGCGCUAAUACGGCAUACUCUCAGUGGACCCAAGGUGGGAUUGGCUGGUUGGGGGGGUAAAGGCCUACCAAGGCGACGAUCCGUAACGGGUCUGAGAGGAUGAUCAGGCACACUGGAACUGAGACACGGUCCAGACUCCUACGGGAGGCAGCAGUGGGGAAUAUUGGACAAUGGGCGAAAGCCUGAUCCAGCCAUGCCGCGUGUGUGAAGAAGGUCUUCGGAUUGUAAAGCACUUUAAGUUGGGAGGCGUUACCAACAGAAUAAGCACCGGCUAACUCCGUGCCAACAGCCGCGGUAAUAC
rnacentral:rRNA from 1 species